CAUUUAUGGCUAUUAGAUGGGUAUGCGUCCUAUUAGUUAGUUGGUAAGGUAACGGCUUACCAAGGCAGCGAUAGGUAGGGGUCCUGAGAGGGAGAUCCCCCACACUGGUACUGAGACACGGACCAGACUCCUACGGGAGGCAGCAGUGAGGAAUAUUGGACAAUGGGCGAGAGCCUGAUCCAGCCAUGCCGCGUGCAGGAAGACUGCCCUAUGGGUUGUAAACUGCUUUUACAGAGGAAGAACCACCCCCACGUGUGGGGGUUUGACGGUACUCUGCGAAUAAGGAUCGGCUAACUCCGUGCCAGCAGCCGCGGUAAUACGGAGGAUCCAAGCGUUAUCCGGAAUCAUUGGGUUUAAAGGGUCCGUAGGCGGGCAGUUAAGUCAGUGGUGAAAGUCUUCCGCUCAACGGGAGAACUGCCAUUGAUACUGAUUGUCUUGAGUUAUUAUGAAGUGGUUAGAAUGAGUAGUGUAGCGGUGAAAUGCAUAGAUAUUACUCAGAAUACCGAUUGCGAAGGCAGAUCACUAAUAAUAUACUGACGCUGAUGGACGAAAGCGUAGGUAGCGAACAGGAUUAGAUACCCUGGUAGUCUACGCCGUAAACGAUGGUUACUAGCUGUUCGGAUCGAUUGAGAUCUGAGUGGUUAAGCGAAAGUGAUAAGUAACCCACCUGGGGAGUACGUUCGCAAGAAUGAAACUCAAAGGAAUUGACGGGGGCCCGCACAAGCGGUGGAGCAUGUGGUUUAAUUCGAUGAUACGCGAGGAACCUUACCAGGGCUUAAAUGUAGUCUGACAGGGGUGGAAACACCCUUUUCUUCG
rnacentral:rRNA from 1 species